rnacentral:rRNA from 1 species
GACGAACGCUGGCGGCGUGCUUGAUACAUGCAAGUCGAACGAACUAUCUUACACCGAAUGCUUGCAUUCACUGUAAGAAGAUGAGUGGCGGACGGGUGAGUAACACGUGGGUAACCUGCUUAAAAGAAGGGGAUAACACUUGGAAACAGGUGCUAAUACCGUAUAUCUUUAAGGAUCGCAUGAUCCUUAGAUGAAAGAUGGUUCUGCUAUCGCUUUUAGAUGGACCCGCGGCGUAUUAACUAGUUGGUGGGGUAACGGCCUACCAAGGUGAUGAUACGUAGCCGAACUGAGAGGUUGAUCGGCCACAUUGGGACUGAGACACGGCCCAAACUCNUACGGGAGGCAGCAGUAGGGAAUCUUCCACAAUGGACGCAAGUCUGAUGGAGCAACGCCGCGUGAGUGAAGAAGGUCUUCGGAUCGUAAAACUCUGUUGUUAGAGAAGAACACGAGUGAGAGUAACUGUUCAUUCGAUGACGGUAUCUAACCAGCAAGUCACGGCUAAUUACGUGCCAGCAGCCGCGGUAAUACGUAGGUGCCAAGCGUUGUCGAUUUAUGGGCGUAAGGAACGCAGGCGUCUUUAAGUCUGAUGUGAAAGCUUCGGCUUAACCGGAGUAGUGCAUUGGAAACUGGAAGACUUGAGUGCAGAAGAGGAGAGUGGAACUCCAUGUGUAGCGGUGAAAUGCGUAGAUAUAUGGAAGAACACCAGUGGCGAAAGCGGCUCUCUGGUCUGUAACUGACGCUGAGGUUCGAAAGCGUGGGUAGCAAACAGGAUUAGAUACCCUGGUAGUCCACGCCGUAAACGAUGAAUGCUAGGUGUUGGAGGGUUUCCGCCCUUCAGUGCCGCAGCUAACGCAAUAAGCAUUCCGCCUGGGGAGUACGACCGCAAGGUUGAAACUCAAAGGAAUUGACGGGGGCCCGCACAAGCGGCGGAGCAUGUGGUUUAAUUCGAAGCAACGCGAAGAACCUUACCAGGUCUUGACAUCCUUUGACCACCUAAGAGAUUAGGUUUUCCCUUCGGGGACAAAGUGACAGGUGGUGCAUGGCUGUCGUCAGCUCGUGUCGUGAGAUGUUGGGUUAAGUCCCGCAACGAGCGCAACCCUUGUUGUCAGUUGCCAGCAUUAAGUUGGGCACUCUGGCGAGACUGCCGGUGACAAACCGGAGGAAGGUGGGGACGACGUCAAGUCAUCAUGCCCCUUAUGACCUGGGCUACACACGUGCUACAAUGGACGGUACAACGAGUCGCAAGACCGCGAGGUUUAGCUAAUCUCUUAAAGCCGUUCUCAGUUCGGAUUGUAGGCUGCAACUCGCCUACAUGAAGUCGGAAUCGCUAGUAAUCGCGAAUCAGCAUGUCGCGGUGAAUACCUUCCCGGGCCUUGUACACACCGCCCGUCACACCAUGAGAAUUUGUAACACCCAAAGCCGUGGGGUAACCGCAAGGAGCCAGCCGUCUAAGGUGGGACAGAUGAUUGGGGUG